AAUAAGAUGCUUUGCCUUUAUCAUUGAAGAGAGAGAAAGAGAUCGGCUAAAAAAAAGAAAGAAAGAAGAAGAGAGCAAAGAGAGAGAAGAAGAGAAAAAGAGAAGAAGUCUUCUUCGUCAAAUGGCCCUAAGCAACACAUGAGAUCAAAGUUGUGUAAUUUGAAUUUGAUAUUAUGUUGGGAGAAGAUUAGAGGUAAAUUUCAAUUCUUGGUUUUUGUUAAUUUAUUAUGAAGAAGUAUGAUUAGAUAAUUGUAGUAGAAAUAGAAAUUUAAAAUUUUGCAGAAAAUAUGCUGACAAUGAGUUAUUUCGAAAAUCAUAGUAAUUUGUACAUAUUGAUUUUGAUUCUGGAUUUUGGAUAUGUUAAAUUAGACAUCUUCAAGAAUAUUUUGAAGUUUGUUUCGACUAAUCAUAUAAGAAUUCAAUUUAUUACGAUUUUUUUAACUCAAGUCUAAAAACCUGAAAAUUUCUAAUUUCAGUGAAGAACAUGAAUUACGAAACUAUUUUACCGAAGCUAGAUUUAUUCAAAAAUGAUGAAAUUUGGACUAGUGAUUUUUAUGUAUGUCUAGAGUGAUUUAGGAAAAUUUCAUGAUUUUAUGAUAAAACAAAAAAUUGUUUUGUACUUUUAAAACAAAUAUGUUCGAAACAGAAAACUAUUUGACAAAAUUGAUGAUGUUUGAAACGUAAUUAUUUUCAAAAGUUUUUGAAGGAAUUAAGCUAUGAAGGUUUAAGCAUUGAAUUUCUAAUAUGUCAGCAUAUGCCUUGUAAAAUUUGAUGCUAUUAGAGUUUAUGAUUAUAAUGUGAUUAUAUCUAAUCAGAGUUUUGUUAAUGAUUUUUAGGUCGAUUAUAUCAAUAUGCAUUUUUUAUACGUGGAUGCCAAGACAUAAGUAAACUAAACUUCUAAAUGAAUCAUAAUAAACAAUAUGUACAUGUUUGACAAGUUUAAAAAACCUAUAUUUGAUAUGUACGGAUAUGAAUUUAUAUGAUUUUGCCUAUGUAUUUACGUGAUGUGUUAUUAUGUGUUUAGCUAAAUUAUGUGGACAGCAGAAAGUAUAUGCGAGAGUUCAUUCGCACAAGAAUGAAUAUGCAUUAAGUUUUGUAUGAAAUGAGAAAGUGGACAAUAUCUUUCUUGAUUAGACUUUCAAUAUCCUUAGGGAUCAUGUAAAUAGGUGAUGUCCCUUUUUGAAUCCAUGUAUAUUUAGCUUUCUUCUAUUGAUUUGUUAGAUUAAAGCUGAGUGAAGAUAGAGUGGGCUUACAGGACUGAGGAGCUUUUUGGGAUGAUGAAGUUGGCAUGGAAGGAGAUUGAGAUAAACCACAUAAAGAUGCAGUUGACUUAGCUGAUGAUCAAGGUUGAUCAGAAGUCGAUGAAGAUGCUACAGGUCUAUAGAAUGGUGAAGAUGCUGGUGAUCGAGGUUGACCAGAAGUCGAGAUGCUGCAGGUCUAUAGAAUGGUGAAGACGCUGAGGAUCGAGGUUAAUCAGAACUAAGUGGAGAUGCUGCGGGUCUACAGAAUGAUGAAGAUGCCGAUGUUCGAGGUCGAUCAGAAGUAAGUGGAGAUGCUGCAGGCCUAGAGAAUGGUGAAGAAGCUGAUGAUCGAGGUUGAUCAGAACUAAGUGGAGAUGCUACAGGUCUAGAGAAUGAUGAAGAUUCUGCAGGUCUAGAGAACGAUGAAGAUGCUUCAUUAUUCUCAAGACUAGAAUUCCUAACAGAAGUGUUGUAGGAAGGUGAUCCGAGUGAAGGGUCUAUCUCUGAAGUCUCAUUACUAGUUCCAUGAUCUUGGUCCUCGAAAAUGUAUAGCAAAAUUUCGCCUAAUGCACACACACUGCCGGACAACAUCAACUUUAUACGUCUUGGUGAGGAAGAAGAAACAAUGAAGUUACUGUGUAAUGCAUUUAAUCAAAUUGACAUUAUCCAAAUGAUGAAAAUCAGAAACUGAAGUUUCUCUGUAACCAAGAUUACUUAUAGUGGAAAUCAGGGGGGCCAAUUAGAGGAUAAAUGAACCCAUAAAAAAAUUGUUGAUUAGUAAUGUAAGAGAAUUUUAAACAUCAUUUGAUAAAAUUUAAGCAAUCAUACUGAACCAAAGUGCAUGAGAAAAUGUAAAAUCGUAUUAUAUUAGUACAAGUUAAUUGAAUGUUAAAAGUAUGUGGACAGAAGAUUAAGCUCCCCUAAAAACAGAAGAACUAGCAAUCAAAUAAAGCAUGCAUGACUCUAUGUUCAAGUAAGAUGAAACUCAAAC
rnacentral:lncRNA from 1 species